UGGCUCAGAUUGAACGCUGGCGGCAGGCUUAACACAUGCAAGUCGAGCGGGGGAAGGUAGCUUGCUACCGGACCUAGCGGCGGACGGGUGAGUAAUGCUUAGGAAUCUGCCUAUUAGUGGGGGACAACAUCUCGAAAGGGAUGCUAAUACCGCAUACGUCCUACGGGAGAAAGCAGGGGAUCUUCGGACCUUGCGCUAAUAGAUGAGCCUAAGUCGGAUUAGCUAGUUGGUGGGGUAAAGGCCUACCAAGGCGACGAUCUGUAGCGGGUCUGAGAGGAUGAUCCGCCACACUGGGACUGAGACACGGCCCAGACUCCUACGGGAGGCAGCAGUGGGGAAUAUUGGACAAUGGGGGGAACCCUGAUCCAGCCAUGCCGCGUGUGUGAAGAAGGCCUUAUGGUUGUAAAGCACUUUAAGCGAGGAGGAGGCUACUUUAGUUAAUACCUAGAGAUAGUGGACGUUACUCGCAGAAUAAGCACCGGCUAACUCUGUGCCAGCAGCCGCGGUAAUACAGAGGGUGCGAGCGUUAAUCGGAUUUACUGGGCGUAAAGCGUGCGUAGGCGGCUUAUUAAGUCGGAUGUGAAAUCCCCGAGCUUAACUUGGGAAUUGCAUUCGAUACUGGUGAGCUAGAGUAUGGGAGAGGAUGGUAGAAUUCCAGGUGUAGCGGUGAAAUGCGUAGAGAUCUGGAGGAAUACCGAUGGCGAAGGCAGCCAUCUGGCCUAAUACUGACGCUGAGGUACGAAAGCAUGGGGAGCAAACAGGAUUAGAUACCCUGGUAGUCCAUGCCGUAAACGAUGUCUACUAGCCGUUGGGGCCUUUGAGGCUUUAGUGGCGCAGCUAACGCGAUAAGUAGACCGCCUGGGGAGUACGGUCGCAAGACUAAAACUCAAAUGAAUUGACGGGGGCCCGCACAAGCGGUGGAGCAUGUGGUUUAAUUCGAUGCAACGCGAAGAACCUUACCUGGCCUUGACAUACUAGAAACUUUCCAGAGAUGGAUUGGUGC
rnacentral:rRNA from 1 species